AGUGAACGCUGGCGGUAGGCCUAACACAUGCAAGUCGAACGGCAGCACAGUAAGAGCUUGCUCUUACGGGUGGCGAGUGGCGGACGGGUGAGGAAUACAUCGGAAUCUACUUUUUCGUGGGGGAUAACGUAGGGAAACUUACGCUAAUACCGCAUACGACCUACGGGUGAAAGCAGGGGAUCUUCGGACCUUGCGCGAUUGAAUGCGCCGAUGUCGGAUUAGCUAGUUGGCGGGGUAAAGGCCCACCAAGGCGACGAUCCGUAGCUGGUCUGAGAGGAUGAUCAGCCACACUGGAACUGAGACACGGUCCAGACUCCUACGGGAGGCAGCAGUGGGGAAUAUUGGACAAUGGGCGGAAGCCUGAUCCAGCCAUACCGCGUGGGUGAAGAAGGCCUUCGGGUUGUAAAGCCCUUUUGUUGGGAAAGAAAAGCAGCAGGUUAAUACCCCGCUGUUCUGACGGUACCCAAAGAAUAAGCACCGGCUAACUUCGUG
rnacentral:rRNA from 1 species